rnacentral:tRNA from 1 species
AAGUAGUGAAGUAAAAUAUACAAUCAGUUUCGACCUGAUAUUAAGGAAAUAUCCUCUUACUUU